UCCGGUAUGGUGUAAUGGUUAACAUUGCCGCCUCUCAUGAAUCUAACAGCUUGUUCGGUUACGCGGCAGCUCAGGGUUCAAUUCCCUGUACCGGAA